AGCUUGGUGCUUGCACCGAGCGGAUGAGUUGCGAACGGGUGAGUAACGCGUAGGUAACCUGCCUCUUAGCGGGGGAUAACUAUUGGAAACGAUAGCUAAUACCGCAUAAAAGUCGACAUCGCAUGAUGUUGACUUGAAAGGUGCAAUUGCAUCACUAAGAGAUGGACCUGCGUUGUAUUAGCUAGUUGGUGAGGUAACGGCUCACCAAGGCGACGAUACAUAGCCGACCUGAGAGGGUGAUCGGCCACACUGGGACUGAGACACGGCCCAGACUCCUACGGGAGGCAGCAGUAGGGAAUCUUCGGCAAUGGGGGCAACCCUGACCGAGCAACGCCGCGUGAGUGGAGAAGGUUUUCGGAUCGUAAAGCUCUGUUGUAAGGGAAGAACGAGUGUGAGAGUGGAAAGUUCACACUGUGACGGUAACUUACCAGAAAGGGACGGCUAACUACGUGCCAGCAGCCGCGGUAAUACGUAGGUCCCGAGCGUUAUCCGGAUUUAUUGGGCGUAAAGCGAGCGCAGGCGGUUAGAUAAGUCUGAAGUUAAAGGCUGUGGCUUAACCAUAGUACGCUUUGGAAACUGUUUAACUUGAGUGCAGAAGGGGAGAGUGGAAUUCCAUGUGUAGCGGUGGAAUGCGUAGAUAUAUGGAGGAACACCGGUGGCGAAAGCGGCUCUCUGGUCUGUAACUGACGCUGAGGCUCGAGAGCGUGGGGAGCAAA
rnacentral:rRNA from 1 species